rnacentral:rRNA from 1 species
AGUGAACGCUGGCGGUAGGCCUAACACAUGCAAGUCGAACGGCAGCACAGUAAGAGCUUGCUCUUACGGGUGGCGAGUGGCGGACGGGUGAGGAAUACAUCGGAAUCUACUUUUUCGUGGGGGAUAACGUAGGGAAACUUACGCUAAUACCGCAUACGACCUACGGGUGAAAUCAGGGGAUCUUCGGACCUUGCGCGAUUGAAUGAGCCGAUGUCGGAUUAGCUAGUUGGCGGGGUAAAGGCCCACCAAGGCGACGAUCCGUAGCUGGUCUGAGAGGAUGAUCAGCCACACUGGAACUGAGACACGGUCCAGACUCCUACGGGAGGCAGCAGUGGGGAACAUUGGACAAUGGGCGCAAGCCUGAUCCAGCCAUACCGCGUGGGUGAAGAAGGCCUUCGGGUUGUAAAGCCCUUUUGUUGGGAAAGAAAAGCAGCAGGUUAAUACCCCGCUGUUCUGACGGUACCAAAAGAAUAAGCACCGGCUAACUUCGUG